rnacentral:rRNA from 1 species
UGAGGAAUAUUGGUCAAUGGACGCAAGUCUGAACCAGCCAAGUAGCGUGCAGGAUGACGGCACUAUGGGUUGUAAACUGCUUUUAUAUGGGGAUAAAGUGGGGAACGUGUUCCCUUUUGCAGGUACCAUAUGAAUAAGGACCGGCUAAUUCCGUGCCAGCAGCCGCGGUAAUACGGAAGGUCCAGGCGUUAUCCGGAUUUAUUGGGUUUAAAGGGAGCGUAGGCUGUUUGUUAAGCGUGUUGUGAAAUGUAAGAGCUCAACUUUUAGAUUGCAGCGCGAACUGGCAGACUUGAGUGCGCACAACGUAGGCGGAAUUCAUGGUGUAGCGGUGAAAUGCUUAGAUAUCAUGACGAACUCCGAUUGCGAAGGCAGCUUACGGGAGCGCAACUGACGCUAAAGCUCGAAGGUGCGGGUAUCGAACAGG